GACGAACGCUGGCGGCGUGCCUAAUACAUGCAAGUCGAGCGAAGUUUUUCUGGUGCUUGCACUAGAAAAACUUAGCGGCGAACGGGUGAGUAACACGUAAAGAACCUGCCUCAUAGACUCGGACAACUAUUGGAAACGAUAGCUAAUACCGGAUAACAGUAUUUCUCGCAUGAGAGAUAUUUAAAAGUUGGUUAUGCUAACACUAUGAGAUGGCUUUGCGGUGCAUUAGCUAGUUGGUGGGGUAAAGGCCCACCAAGGCGACGAUGCAUAGCCGACCUGAGAGGGUGAUCGGCCACACUGGGACUGAGACACGGCCCAGACUCCUACGGGAGGCAGCAGUAGGGAAUCUUCCGCAAUGGGCGAAAGCCUGACGGAGCAACGCCGCGUGAGUGAAGAAGGAUUUCGGUUCGUAAAGCUCUGUUGUUAGGGAAGAAUGGAUAUGUAGUAACUAUACAUGUAAGAGACGGUACCUAACCAGAAAGCCACGGCUAACUACGUG
rnacentral:rRNA from 1 species